GCGGCCGCCGAGCCCCCCCCGCAGCGCGGGGCGGGAUGGCGCGGGGAGGUCCGGUGGGGGCUGGGACCGGACGCGGGGUUCGGGGCCCCCACCCGCCCGUCGCGCCACCUGCGGAGCCCGCGCUCGACCCGCCGACCCCGCUCCCGCCAGGCGCGCGAACAAAACAAGUUGCAGCUCUCCGCCGCCGGAGGGGGCGGGCGGGUCACUCACCCUCAUCCUGCUCAGCGGGCUCGGCUCGUCCGGCCGCGGGGAUAGGGAGGACCAGAGGACCACCAGCACCAGGAAGCUGCCCACCACCAGCAAACUGCCAGUGUUUGGAGCACGUAUCGUGUGCUAGCCAUUGUUUUAAAUCAUGGGAAACAGCAGGAAACUAGAGGAGCAGAAAUCCUUGUGGUCAUGGAGUCAGACAAUAAACAAGCACAGAUCCCAUCUACAGAGACUGGAGGGUCUCGGAGGACAGGAGCUGACUGAUGAACAUUCACGCUCAUUGUGGGGCACAGACUUUGAGAACAAGCCUUUUCCUGAGUCCCGAGGACCAUAGACACGUUGGCUGAACUGUUUGUUAUUCUUACCAGUGGGGUGUGGCUGAGAUUCCAUUACAUAUAUGGUCCCACCACGUGAUUCAUCCAGCGGGUGUAUUUUAAUUAUUGAACCAAGACGUGAGUAAUUGGAAAGGAGGAAACCUAAGAAGAAACACCAGUUCUUCUGCAUUGACCUAUACAGGUCAGGACCUAGGAGGUCUUUUGUCUUUUCUUUUGACGUCUAAAAAGAAAUAUUCUUACAUCUCCAAGAGAAAGAGCAAGAAAACAGAGGGAUGAAACACUCCUGAUCGAGGGCCUGUAGUCAAUGUCCCAUUUACCCCAUGUGUCACCUGCUUGAGCCCUAACCCCUACUAUCCACCACUCCAGUUACCCUGAUCUUUCCUGUUCUUAGGGUAUGAUUUAAACAGCCUGUUCUCCUCUUUUUGGAAGUUGGAUACAAAUGAUAAAUAAUCAGUGGUGAAUUUGGCCUCACUUUUGACUGACCUCAUUAGGCUUCAAAUGGGAAUCACAGAGACCCACAAAGGUACAUUGCGGUUGUCCUGGCACUGAGCACU